GGAGGAGGGCUACAAAACCGUACCAAGCUUGCCCGGAUUGGUGGCCGGAGGAGGAAGUUCCGGCGAAGUGAAGCUUUGGACAGUCGGCGGUUCCGGCGGCUUUUUCUCCUCUUCGACGGCACCACCGGCUCGGACACUAGGCCGGGGAGGGAGAGGAGGUGACGGGGGUCCGAUCUGGGCUGGUGCGGCGGCCGGUGGGUGGCCGGACGGCGGUGGUGAAAUUUCCGGGUGGAGAGAGGAGAAAAUCGGGUGGGAGGAGAGAGAAUCGGGAGAGAGGGAGAAGAGAAAAAAGGUUUUUGGGCCUCACCCCAAACCGGUCCACAACACUUAACCCAAUCUUCCAAAAAUAAAACACCCCGAAAAAUAAUACCCGAAUAAAAAUUACCUUUACUAGCUAAAAUUUACCAUUUUUACCGUCGUCGUAUUUUCCUCAUACGAAUAAUCCUCCGCACAUAAUCGUCCCCGAAACCCUCUAGGGACCAAUUAAACUAUUUACUCAAUGAUCGAGACGGUAAAAUUCUUAUUAUAAUCAGGCUAGUAAAUGAGGUAAAAAUAUAAGGGUCGGGAUGUGACAGUUUUGGAUUGGAGGCUAUGGAUGCUUGGCUUGAUGCUUGAGGCUUGCUUAUGUGAUCUAAGAUGUAUUGCUUGGGGUUGUAUGUUCUGUUGCCUGAGUUGUGUUUGCAGCAACUGAGAGCCUUUAUUUAUAGGCUGGAGGAGGUGAGGCUAAGAUAAGGAUAUUAGGAUAAAACUGCUGGGUUUUCAAGAGAACUAUAAGGUGAAAUCGAAAUAUACAGAACAAGUCAAAGACCACAGGACAUAAGGUGUAUUUGUUGCAUUGUUUUGGGUGAAAUAUGAAAAUAGAGAGGCAUAUUUCUAGGGAAGCACUAUUGUGUAUUUUAGUUGAUAAAGGUGUACUUAUUAGGAAUAGUUGCAUUGGAGUAGGUUGUAGCAUGCUAGAGCUAAGAAUAGGGAAAAUAGAGGAUAUUGAUAGAGACUUGUGUUUGUCGUAGAAGAAGGGAAAU
rnacentral:lncRNA from 1 species